rnacentral:rRNA from 1 species
CUACGGGGGCUGCAGUGGGGAAUAUUGGACAAUGGGCGAAAGCCUGAUCCAGCCAUGCCGCGUGUGUGAAGAAGGCCUUCGGGUUGUAAAGCACUUUCAGUGGGGAAGAAAGCCUUGGGGCUAAUACCCUCGAGGAAGGACAUCACCCACAGAAGAAGCACCGGCUAACUCCGUGCCAGCAGCCGCGGUAAUACGGAGGGUGCGAGCGUUAAUCGGAAUUACUGGGCGUAAAGCGCGCGUAGGCGGUCUGAUAAGCCGGUUGUGAAAGCCCCGGGCUCAACCUGGGAACGGCAUCCGGAACUGUCAGGCUAGAGUGCAGGAGAGGAAGGUAGAAUUCCCGGUGUAGCGGUGAAAUGCGUAGAGAUCGGGAGGAAUACCAGUGGCGAAGGCGGCCUUCUGGACUGACACUGACGCUGAGGUGCGAAAGCGUGGGUAGCAAACAGGAUUAGAUACCCCAGUAGUC